CGACCUGAGCUCAGGCAAGGCUACCCGCUGAACUUAAGCAUAUCAAUAAGCGGAGGAAAAGAAACUAACUAGGAUGCGCUUAGUAACGGCGAGCGAACCGCGCAAAGCCCAACUUGAAAAUCUCCCUUGGAGAAUUGUAGUCUAUAGAAGUACCCUCUGUAACGGGCGCAGCUCAAGUCUCCUGGAAAGGGGCGUCAGAGAGGGUGAGAACCCCGUAAGCUGUUGCUUUGUUGCCUCACGAGGUGCUUUCAAAGAGUCGGGUUGCUUGNGAAUGCAGCCCAAAUUUGGUGGUAAAUCCCAUCUAAGGCUAAAUAUUG
rnacentral:ncRNA from 1 species